GUGGGGAAUAUUGGACAAUGGGCGCAAGCCUGAUCCAGCAAUGCCGCGUGGGUGAAGAAGGUCUUCGGAUUGUAAAGCACUUUAAGUUGGGAGGAAGGGCAGUAAGUUAAUACCUUGCUGUUUUGACGUUACCGACAGAAUAAGCACCGGCUAACUUCGUGCCAGCAGCCGCGGUAAUACGAAGGGUGCAAGCGUUAAUCGGAAUUACUGGGCGUAAAGCGCGCGUAGGUGGUUUUGUAAGUUGGAGGUGAAAUCCCCGGGCUCAACCUGGGAACUGCCUCCAAAACUGCAUGACUAGAAUACGGUAGAGGGUAGUGGAAUUUCCUGUGGAUCGGUGAAAUGCGUAGAUAUAGGAAGGAACACCAGUGGCGAAGGCGACUACCUGGACUGAUACUGACACUGAGGUGCGAAAGCGUGGGGAGCAAACAGGAUUAGAAACCCGGGUAGUCC
rnacentral:rRNA from 1 species